rnacentral:rRNA from 1 species
UACGGGGGGAGCAAGCGUUGUUCGGAUUUACUGGGCGUAAAGGGCGCGUAGGCGGCCACCGCAAGUCGACUGUGAAAUCUCCGGGCUUAACCCGGAAAGGUCAACCGAUACUGCGGGGCUAGAGUGCAGAAGGGGCAACUGGAAUUCUCGGUGUAGCGGUGAAAUGCGUAGAUAUCGAGAGGAACACCUGCGGCGAAGGCGGGUUGCUGGGCUGACACUGACGCUGAAGUGCGAAAGCUAGGGGAGCGAACGGG